UUCCUGGUGGUCCAGCGGUUGGGACUCAGCACUGUCACAGCUGCAGCCCUGGGUACAAUCCCUGGUCAGGGAA
rnacentral:tRNA from 1 species